rnacentral:lncRNA from 13 species
CUCACACACUCGUGGCCUGGCAAGGACCAGGUGGGGUGGGAGCUGGACCCUCAGUGCUUUGGAUGUGGAGGAGGUUGGCUGGGGGGUCCCGCAGUGCCUGCUCCUCUCUGGCUUCCUGAGAGUGGUGUCCCAACCUUCUCUGACAGGCCUCACUGCAUGAGUCUUACGGCUGGGGCCGAGGUUCUUCAUUUCCUGGGGACUCCCUGGGUGGGGAGGACAGGGUGAGGCUGGAGGCUUCUGGGCUGCAGGGAGAGAUGCUGAAGGGGGAGUGGGGCCCAGGAGGACAGCCAGACCACCCCAACCUCCCCGACACCUCCGUGUGAAUUGGGAAAGGGGGCCCUAAGAUUCCUUCAGCCAGGCAGGCACUUUUGUGCAGUGCACAACCUGCACAACCCAGGGUGGCGGCCUUGUUGUCAGCCCUCGGGGAGGCGGAUCGAGGCCAGGAGAGCCCCUGCUGCCUCCCCUUUUGCUGCUGGGUUCAUAGUGACCCUGCUCUGCCCAGGCCGGACCCAGGAUGUGAGUCUCCAGGCUCUGAAGGCCUUCCAGGACUUCUACCUGAUGCUGGGGCUUCCGGAUGACAUGGUGCUCAUGCUGCCCAAGUCAGACACGUGCAUCCCUGAGAGCAAGGAGAAGCCCUGAUGCCUCUGGACCCCACCCAGCCCUUCCCAGGGCCCAGGAGAGCAGACCACAGCCUUUGUGCCCAGUGCCAUCACAGAAGCCACAUUCGGGUGGGGUCUUGGGGAGACCUCCCCCUAAACCAGAUGCCAGAAGACCAUUGGGUCCCUCACCCAGGCUCACAGCCAAGACUUUGGGCAUAACCACACGUCACGAGUCUGAAGUGACAGUUACCAGACUCUGGAGCGCCACUGGCCCUUCCUGGCGUGGUGGGAGGAGGUGUUGGGGGACUCUCGGUGGGGCCGUGGGGCUGGGGGGCUCUGGGGCGGGGCCAUGGUACUGGAGGGCUCCGG